GUACCUAACAAGAAAGCACCGGCUAACUACGUGCCAGCAGCCGCGGUAAAACGUAGGGUGCAAGCGUUGUCCGGAAUUACUGGGUGUAAAGGGAGCGCAGGCGGGAAGACAAGUUGGAAGUGAAAACCAUGGGCUCAACCCAUGAAUUGCUUUCAAAACUGUUUUUCUUGAGUAGUGCAGAGGUAGAUGGAAUUCCCGGUGUAGCGGUGGAAUGCGUAGAUAUCGGGAGGAACACCAGUGGCGAAGGCGGUCUACUGGGCACCAACUGACGCUGAGGCUCGAAAGCAUGGGUAGCAAACAGGAUUAGAUACCCUGGUAGUCCAUGCCGUAAACGAUGAUUACUAGGUGUUGGGGGAUUGACCCCCUCAGUGCCGCAGUUAACACAAUAAGUAAUCCACCUGGGGA
rnacentral:rRNA from 1 species